rnacentral:rRNA from 1 species
UACGUAGGGCGCAAGCGUUAUCCGGAAUUAUUGGGCGUAAAGAGCUCGUAGGCGGUCUGUCGCGUCUGCUGUGAAAACUCAGGGCUUAACCCUGAGCUUGCAGUGGGUACGGGCAGACUAGAGUGCGGUAGGGGAGACUGGAAUUCCUGGUGUAGCGGUGAAAUGCGCAGAUAUCAGGAGGAACACCGGUGGCGAAGGCGGGUCUCUGGGCCGAUACUGACGCUGGAGGAGCGAAAGCGUGGGGAGCGAACAGG